GAUGAACGCUGGCGGCGUGCCUAAUACAUGCAAGUCGAGCGAACAGACGAGGAGCUUGCUCCUCUGACGUUAGCGGCGGACGGGUGAGUAACACGUGGAUAACCUACCUAUAAGACUGGGAUAACUUCGGGAAACCGGAGCUAAUACCGGAUAAUAUAUUGAACCGCAUGGUUCAAUAGUGAAAGACGGUUUUGCUGUCACUUAUAGAUGGAUCCGCGCCGCAUUAGCUAGUUGGUAAGGUAACGGCUUACCAAGGCAACGAUGCGUAGCCGACCUGAGAGGGGGACCGGCCACGCGGGACUUGAGACCGGGCCAGACCCCCAAGGGGAGGAAGAAGAGGGGAUCCUUCCGCAAUGGGCGAAAGCCUGAGGGGGCAGCGCGGGGGGAGUAAGAAAGGUUUUCGGAGCGAAAAACUUUUUUAUGGGGGAAGAAAAAAUGUGUAAGUAAAUAUGCACGUCUGGACGGUCCCUAAUCAAAAAGCCACGCCUACAUCCGGC
rnacentral:rRNA from 1 species